UACGUAGGGUGCGAGCGUUGUCCGGAAUUAUUGGGCGUAAAGAGCUCGUAGGCGGUCUGUCGCGUCGGUCGUGAAAACUUGGGGCUUAACCCUGAGCUUGCGGUCGAUACGGGCAUGACUGGAGUUCGGCAGGGGAGACUGGAAUUCCUGGUGUAGCGGUGAAAUGCGCAGAUAUCAGGAGGAACACCGGUGGCGAAGGCGGGUCUCUGGGCCGAUACUGACGCUGAGGAGCGAAGGCCAGGGGAGCAAACGGG
rnacentral:rRNA from 1 species